rnacentral:rRNA from 1 species
GACGAACGCUUGCGACGUGCCUAAGAAAUGCAAGUCGAACGGGGGAGCAAUCCCUAGUGGCGAACGGUCGCGUAACACGUGGGCAACCUGCCCCAGAGCGGGGGACAACAGUCCGAAAGGACUGCUAAUACCGCAUGUGGACUGCUCCGGCAUCGGAGUUGUUCUAAAGGAUUUAUUCACUCUGGGAUGGGCCCGCGGCCUAUCAGCUUGUUGGUGGGGUAACGGCCUACCAAGGCUUCGACGGGUAGCUGGUCUGAGAGGACGAUCAGCCGGAUUG